AUGAUGGCUCAAGAUAAUAUUAAAUUAUGUGAAUUCACCACUACCAACAACAAUGAUUUUAUUAGCACUACAAUUGCUCCUCUUACCGAUGCUGAAUCUUGUGAAAUUAAUACUGCUUUGCUGAAUCUUGUCAUGAAAGAUCAUUUUUCCGGCCUUCCUAGUGAAGAUGCCGCUACCCAUCUAAAUAGCUUCGUUGAUUUGUGUGAUGUGCAAAAGAAUAAAGAUGUGGAUGAUGAUAUUGUUAAAUUGAAGCUAUUUCCUUUUUCGCUUAGAGAUCGUGCUAAAGCUUGGUUUUCGUCUUUGCCUAAAAAUAGUAUUGAUUCUUGGAACAAGUGCAAAGAUGCUUUUAUCUCUUAG
rnacentral:rRNA from 1 species